rnacentral:rRNA from 1 species
AAUCCAUAGGUUAAUGAGGCGAACCGGGGGAACUGAAACAUCUAAGUACCCCGAGGAAAAGAAAUCAACCGAGAUUCCCCCAGUAGCGGCGAGCGAACGGGGAGGAGCCCAGAGCCUGAAUCAGCAUGUGUGUUAGUGGAAGCGUCUGGAAAGGCGCGCGAUACAGGGUGACAGCCCCGUACACAAAAGCGCAUGUGCUGUGAGCUCGAUGAGUAGGGCGGGACACGUGGUAUCCUGUCUGAAUAUGGGGGGACCAUCCUCCAAGGCUAAAUACUCCUGACUGACCGAUAGUGAACCAGUACCGUGAGGGAAAGGCGAAAAGAACCCCGGCGAGGGGAGUGAAAAAGAACCUGAAACCGUGUACGUACAAGCAGUGGGAGCACCCUUUGGGUGUGACUGCGUACCUUUUGUAUAAUGGGUCAGCGACUUAUAUUCUGUAGCAAGGUUAACCGAAUAGGGGAGCCGGAGGGAAACCGAGUCUUAACCGGGCGUUAAGUUGCAGGGUAUAGACCCGAAACCCGGUGAUCUAGCCAUGGGCAGGUUGAAGGUUGGGUAACACUAACUGGAGGACCGAACCGACUAAUGUUGAAAAAUUAGCGGAUGACCUGUGGCUGGGGGUGAAAGGCCAAUCAAACCGGGAGAUAGCUGGUUCUCCCCGAAAGCUAUUUAGGUAGCGCCUCGUGAAUUCAUCUCCGGGGGUAGAGCACUGUUUCGGCUAGGGGGCCAUCCCGGCUUACCAACCCGAUGCAAACUGCGAAUACCGGAGAAUGUUAUCACGGGAGACACACGGCGGGUGCUAACGUCCGUCGUGAAGAGGGAAACAACCCAGACCGCCAGCUAAGGUCCCAAAGUCAUGGUUAAGUGGGAAACGAUGUGGGAAGGCCCAGACAGCCAGGAUGUUGGCUUAGAAGCAGCCAUCAUUUAAAGAAAGCGUAAUAGCUCACUGGUCGAGUCGGCCUGCGCGGAAGAUGUAACGGGGCUAAACCAUGCACCGAAGCUGCGGCAGCGACACUGUGUGUUGUUGGGUAGGGGAGCGUUCUGUAAGCCUGUGAAGGUGUGUCGUGAGGCAUGCUGGAGGUAUCAGAAGUGCGAAUGCUGACAUAAGUA